rnacentral:rRNA from 1 species
UUGAAAGGGAAACGAUUGAAGUCAGUCGUUCUGAUAGGAAAUCAACUUCUCGAGUGCUUGUCGUGAAUGACGUUGAGCUUCACGGCCUUCGUUGCUUNCGUUAUGGUGCUUUUGAGGUGUACUUUUCCGUAUGGUAAGUCAACAUCGAUUUUCUUCGUCAUAAAAUGAUCGGAGGAAUGUGGCUCUGAUCCUGUAUCGGAGUGUUAUAGCCUUUGGUAGAUGUGACGAUUGGGAUCGAGGAUUGCAAUGAAUACCCUUUUGGGCUAUCCGUCUGACCUCUGAAAGUUGCUCGGGUGUCGAAAGCGUGCUUAUGACAUUCUAGUUGGCGGUCAAAAGGUUAGAACGUGAUUACAUUCGUUAAGGAUGUUGACGUA